rnacentral:rRNA from 1 species
CCUACGGGUGGCAGCAGUGGGGAAUAUUGGACAAUGGGGGGAACCCUGAUCCAGCCAUGCCGCGUGUGUGAAGAAGGCCCUCGGGUUGUAAAGCACUUUCAGUGAGGAAGAACGCCUGGUGGUUAAUACCCAUCAGGAAAGACAUCACUCACAGAAGAAGCACCGGCUAACUCCGUGCCAGCAGCCGCGGUAAUACGGAGGGUGCGAGCGUUAAUCGGAAUUACUGGGCGUAAAGCGCGCGUAGGUGGCUUGAUAAGCCGGUUGUGAAAGCCCCGGGCUCAACCUGGGAACGGCAUCCGGAACUGUCAAGCUAGAGUGCAGGAGAGGAAGGUAGAAUUCCCGGUGUAGCGGUGAAAUGCGUAGAGAUCGGGAGGAAUACCAGUGGCGAAGGAGGCCUUCUGGACUGACACUGACACUGAGGUGCGAAAGCGUGGGUAGCAAACAGGAUUAGAUACCCUGGUAGUC